AGCAUAAUAAAUUAAAUUCAUGCAUCAUUCUGCUCCAUGGUGUCUCUUAUUAGCUCCUCCUCCUAUACCUCCAUUUGCCCCCUCAGUCUCCAGUUAUACAUGUACUUUUACAGCUGCAUAUCACAUAUCAUAAACUGCAGCAUGUUAAAUUCAAUGUACAAGUACAUGUAUUAAGUAAUUUUGUCUACUUUAAAUGGUUUAAGUCUAAAUGGUUUUUUAUUAUUGAUAAUUAUAAUUAUGUACCAAACUUGAUAAAACCAGUCACUAAAUGUCAAUCGGAGGUAGGUGUGGUUAUCUGAUGUGUCGUAUGUUGGCUCCAGGUCGUGGUUACCAUAAGGUUUUGAAAGAGAACCAAAGAUACUAAGUUCUGUCAAAAAAAUGUGAAAAAGAGGUACAUUGUUGUUUCAUGAGCCACACAUAAUUUAGUCAAUACUGCAUAUGGAUUUCAGAACAAACAAGCUACAGCUACUCAUAAAUGGUUAAUAGUGUUGAUGGAUCAUAUUGUUCACAAUGUGGGCAGCUCAACAUGCAGCAUUGUGUAAAGUACUCACUACAUGUCAUCAAGUAUCUCUGUAACAAGAGUGUACUCUUUAAAUCAAUGGACCACUGACAUACAGAUAGACACUGUAUGCAUAUACUGAUUGUAACAAAAUGCACUAAUUCCUCAAUGUCAGCUGUUCUAUUUAGCAUUUUGUGUAUUGUGAGAUUAUUACUAUUAUUAUUAUUUAACGAAAAAUUGAAUCUGUAAACUAUCA